rnacentral:misc_RNA from 1 species
GGCGCUGUGGAGGCCCUUGCAGGGAUGCUGAGGGACGGACGCCCGAGAGGGAAGAAGGAUGCUGUGACUGCGCUCUUCAAUCUCUCAACUCACCCAGAUUGCUGCCAGCUGAUGGUGGAGUCGGGGGCUGUUUCGGCGUUGGUGGGUGCGUUGGAGGUGGAUGGAGUGGCAGAGGAUGCAGCGGGUGCGUUGGGCCUGCUU